rnacentral:tRNA from 1 species
UCCGAGGUCGUUCAAUGGCAGGACAUCGGACUUUGAAUCCGUGAAUGGUGGUUCGAAUCCACCCCUCGGAACCA